rnacentral:lncRNA from 1 species
GCAGAUAGAGUGGUGGUGUUGGGGGAGACGUAGUCGAUGAGAGCGCUGCAGGUGGUGGACCUGGUGGUGGAGUUACAGGUGAAGGCUGCCUGAACUUUGGGCACAGUGGUGAGCACGGAGAGGAAGAAUAGGGCGAGAAGCAGAGUAGCAGAACCCAUGGCCAGGGGUAGGUGCUAAUGCGCACGGUGGUGCUGAGGUUUAGAGUGGGAGGGUUUUAGUGGGAAGUGGAGGAAAAGGUGGAAGUGCAAGAGUUUGGCUACAGGGAUCACGUGCGAUGUAGCCUCUUACUCAUUCGGAAUUUCAGAGGCACCACUGUUGACCUGUUCAUUCCAUUAUUUCAUAUCCACCUUGCGAGGCUGGUUGGGGCCUUGGAGAAUUUUUUAUUCAAAUAUUAAUAUAUCAAAAUAGGAUUAUCAAGCUUUGAGAUAAGCAAAUUAGACAAUGGCUACAUUAACUUCUAUAAGUAUAUUAUUACUAUGUUGUUGAUUAACUUCUAUAAGUACAAGUAAUUAUUAUUACUAUGUUGUUGAUACCGGAUCAACUAAUGAUGUAUUCCUCCCUUUGGCAAUGACAACGAAAGCUCUUGUUGAAAUGCUGGAAUCUGGGCUCUCUGUUUCCUACGCGAAGAUGUUCGGACGGGUUGUCCAGACAUACCCUUCAAAGCCUAAGUCAAAUUUUGAAAUAAAUAGAAACUCUUAGAGACAGAGUAGGUGAGAGAACUCAUAGUAAUGCCCCCCUUUGUUCUAUUACACUAGGAUUUUUAUAAUGCUCAAAUGAGGCAUAGUAAUACUGAGUUGGCCCUUGUAAUGAUGGCUACUCAGUAGUGACAAGGCAAUCAUCACAACUGCAAGACAGUUGGAGCUGUGUCAGACGGUGUGUUAUGAUACAACUUGUCGUCCCUUCAACUUGUUGAACGUAUAGGACUGAUUGUGAUAGUCCGUUCAUAUAGACUUAAGGAUGGAAAAGAUCUCAUCAGUCAUUCAAGUAUCAGACAACCAAAUCCUUACACACUCGAGAAGAUUUGGGGUUGUUAGGGAAGUGUAGCCCGUUCGGUGGUACAAAUGGUCGGGAUAUGAUGUUUUCGAAUGUCUUGAAAGUUGUCCGAACAGUGAUAAAAGGAGUGACACGUGGUCCAACUAGGACGAUGCCAUGUGGAAAGACAUGUGGGAGAAGGCACCACAUAUGUGACUGAAUUUUUUUAAAAUACUAUUUUAAAAUGAAAAUUAUAUUUACGUCUACUUAAUUUCUUUUGGCAUUAGUUAAAGUAAUGAAUCAUUUUAAGACACAAUGGCUCUCUAUGAAAUAACCAAAUUAUCCUUAAAGAGAAAUGCACAUUCAUCUUAUUUGAAUGUCGGUGACAAACAAUUACAUGAUAUCCAUCCGACUUUCCAAAUCUGAACCCUUUUUAGUAUCUAACAUAUUUACAAAUAUUCAACCUGAUGGGCUUGAACAUUUGCACAAUGUCCAACCUUUUAAAUUUGGACACUACAAGAUGAGUUAUUUUAUUUUAUUACCAUUUCUUUUUUCUUUUUUUAGAUUUAUCACAUUUAAAUCAAAUUUAGAUUAUUUUUAAUUUUUUUUCAACUAUUUUAAGAUGGAAGACGGGUUAUCUUAAAAUUUAAGAAAAAAUGGAAUAAAAAAAAUAAAAAAGAAAAGUAAAAGUAAAUGUGAAAAAAAUAGAUUCGAAAUCAAUAAGUAAUUUUUAUAUACUACUUCAAAUUCAUUUGAUUUAUUUUAACAUUUUUUAUAAAGAUUAAAUACUUUAAAAAUACAUAAGUAUUUUUACUAAUUUGAUUUAUAUUUAAUUUUAUUUCAUAUUUUUCAUAAAACAAUUAAACAAGAGAAAAUCAUUUUCUUUUUUUUUCUUUAUUUAUUACCUUUUAGGAACAAAAACAUAAUUUAAAAGAUAUUUUAUAUAAGGAUUUGUUGUUGAGAAAAUAAUGAAGAAGUCGAAUAUAAAAGAGAAGACUGAAAAGGGUAUUUUGGGCAUAUAUUAGAAAUUUGAAGGUGAAUGUGUGUUUUAAAGAAUUUGUAUUGGAUCAUAUCUCUGGCCAUCUGGGCUUUACAAAAGGAAACAUAGUAUUGGAAUGUGUAUGAAUAUAUUUCCAAAAUUAGUCCCUAAAAAGUGAUUUAUAAAAGAGACUUGUUGUAAAGUGAAAUGGAAAGGUGUGUGAUUGAGAACUGACGUACAAAAGAAACAUACCAUUUGAAAGUGGACAGGAGGGAUAUGGAUGGAUUUCGAUGGAAUGAAGGAAUCAAUGGUCCAAUCAUAGAGGAAUUUGAUAGAGAAGGAGAAAAGAAAAUUGAGAGGGAGGAUUUGGGUUUUCUUAACUGCCUACUUUCUUCCAAACAAUGCUAAGGAUUAGGAAAACACAACUAUCCCACUGAAGGCUGAAGCUAAAGAUUAAAGAUAAGCACUUGAUGGAAUUAUCAAGGGAACAAACAAAAUUAACAAAACUAGACUAGGGCCAUCCACGAUCCCACUUCCAGCUAGUGCGGUUGGGUAUGGAAAUCAAAUGCUUGGCAAACGCUCUGUGAAUAGGGAUGGCAAUGGGACGGGCUAGGCUACCUACCACUGCUCCACCGCAAAUGCUAGGCCACUGUCCACGCCUUGGAUUCAUAUCCAUGCUAGAGGAAUAUCACGUGACUAAGACAUGUUUACGAGUAAAGAAAACUGGAGGAAACAUGAAUACUAAAUAUACUUUCUUUCUUCUUCUUUUUUAAUUUUUUUAAUUUAUUUUUUUCUUUUAUAUUAAAAUUAAUAUAAUUUAAAAAUGUAUAAAAUUUAAUUAUAAUUAUUUUUCAUAUUUUUAAUAUAAAAUAUAAAAACUCUUAUAGAAAUGUUAAAAGACUUAACUUAUAUUCUUAAAAAUUAUUUAAAUUUUUUUAAAAUGGAUUGCUUUACGGAAUAAAUUUCAAGUAUUUUUAUAGUUAUCUAAGCAUAUGAAAAAUAUUUUGAAAACUUUUUCAUGAAAUCAAGAACUAUUUUUAAAAUUUGUUUUCAAAAAAUAUUUUUGAAAAAAAUUCACAAACAAACUCUUAGUAAUUAAGAGCAUAUUUGAUUAUGUGAUUUAAAAACAAAAAAUUGUUUUUUACAAAUUUCUAAUACUGUUUGACAAUUAUUUUUUGAAAAUAAUUUUUAAAAAUAAAUUGAAAUAAAAAAUAAUUUUCACCUUUUUUUUUAAAAAAAAAAAAUGAAGAUAUGGAUCCAUUUGACCAUAUUUUUAAAAAAUGUUUUUGAAUUAAAAAAUAAAAUACAAUUUUUAAAAACAAGUUUCAAAGAAUAUAAUCAAACAGCCCUAAGUAUCCUACUUCAAAUUUGAGCAUUAGCUUUCAAAAUUUCAUAGAAUUUCUAUAAUUUGUGUAUUAAGCAUGAUACUUUUGAAAAGAAAAAAAAAUGUGAAAGAAAAAUAAAUUAUAAAAAAUUGGAGAAGAGAGAACAUGUUGGUAUUGACUUUGUAUAUGAAAUUUAUAAAAAAUAAUAAUAACUAAUAAUAAAUAAAAACUAAAAAAAAAAAAAGAAAAAGAAAAAAACAUCCAGGAAAGAUGAAGAGAAAAUGUUGAUAUUCAAAGUGAGAGAAAACAAUGUUUAAAAUGCAAGAAUUUGGUAUAUGUUGUAACUUGUAAGAGACUAAAAUUUUGGGUUUUUAUUGUGUCAUUGGCCUCAGUUGCUAGAUCAGGGAGAACCAAAAUCACAUCAUCACUCAAGAAAAAAAGGUUUUACUUUCUGCCCAUUCUUUAUUCACGAAACUAACCAGUACAAAAAUACACCACCAAAAUUAAACUCAAAAAUAGACACUAACAUUAGAAUGACCAGCGGAUUGGAACAGAUGCCGCAACAAAAAUGCAGAAGAAAUGAUAGAGAAGCAUAGAAAUCCUACUGGGAAUGAUGAAGAUAAAGCAUAACCAAUUGGCUUACUAUGAAAACAAAGUUCCAUCUCCAACUGGGCAGAGUGAUUUUCGAAGCAUAGCUGGGAGCAUUGUUAGUAGCUGUUUGCCAACAAGAACAAACACAUGAGUCUUCAGUUGAUAAGAAUAGCUAGCAAGCGAGAAAGAUCAUGUGAAGAAAAGAUUAAUGUAUUUUGGUUCUUGUGACCAUAAGAAAAUUUGAUUGUUGAAAAUCAAAUGAAGACUUGGGCCAAGUCCAAAACCACAACAACCACCCAUGUAACAAUUGGUGCGACAUCUCAAGAAACAGUAAUCUUCAAAUACAGGUAUUUGUCUUAGUGGAUUGUGUUCAUGUUGAGUCAAAAUCUAAGCAUUUUACUGCAUAGAUCAACUCAAGCCCGAUUACGAAUAAUCAUGUCAAGCCUAAUUAUUAAACAGGUAAUAUGUCCUAUAAUCAUUCAACCCAUUUAAUAAUCAAGUCAUCAUAUUUAAUAAUUAGGUUGAAUUAGAUUUUGUACAAGUCUAUAUAAUUAAUGCCUCGACCAAAUGUGUUUAUGACUCGAUUCAUCUAUUUAUUUAAAAAUAAAUUUGAAAUGAAUCAAAUAUGGGGUUAGGUUAAAUAAUUUAAAAUUAUAAUUAGAUUAACUAAUGGAAUUAUUAAAUAGGUCAAUUCGGGUUAAAUUCAUAUUAUAGGGAAUGAUCCAAAAACUAUCAACUUAUUAAAUGGAUUAUGCAAUCAACACAAAUUUGACAAAGACUUGAUUAUGCUCAACCCAAACCCAUGAAAAACGUAUUGGCUUCGAGUCGAGUUGGCUAACUCACUCACAUAGCACUUAGGCUAUAUUCAGGCUUAUAAAUGCCCCCACUCAUUCUAUUAACGGAACAUACAAACUCAAAAUAAUGCAUCAAAACGCGUAAUGUGAACUUACAUGAACAAGUGGACUCAACAAGGCUUGUGAAGAUUGUUUGGUUGGUGUAACCAGCAUAGGCACAGGUUGUCCUGUUACAAGUGGUAGAUGUGGAGUUGCCAAUGGAUAAACCACUACUCCCACAUUCCAUGCUAGGGCACGUUCCAUUUGUUAUAUUAAGCCCGGAUUGCUCACAUUGUAAUCUGACCCAUCAGUCCAAAAAUGAAGCAAAAAAAAAAAAUUCAGAAAGAAUCAGUCUACGUGAAGCUAACAAGGGAAAAGGGAGGAACCCAAUGUUGCAAACCAUCAAGUGAUAAACUUACGUCCAGUUGUUUGCAGAAUAACACUGGCACUUCACACAAUUGUUUGCAGUGUAGGCAUAAGUACCAUUAGAGAGGAGUAAUGGGUAGUCCAAUGAGGUGUUCUUUACCACAGAAGUACAAGCUGUUGAUAAACAAACAAUCAUCAUACAUUUAUAACAAAUGAACAAGAAAGCAUCACAGAAGCCGAGUUCAUAGCAGUGAUACUGACAUGGAUUUAAAGUCUCAAACAAAUUGGGUGAAUUUGAGUGUUGUAUGGCCUAGGCCUGGCUUUUUUCGGGUUCUUUUGUAGCAAAAUGUAGGUUUUCAUGACUCCAAAAAUCAACCAUUGCUUCCGAUCAUCCUUUCGGUUUUAAUGCAGUUACAUAAAUCACAUAAAUCAAUUCUUUGAUUUGAUCUUUAGAAUCUAUGGAUCCAAGCUCAAUAACUCCUAAUUUGCUUAGUGCUCUACUCAAGAAGCGUAAAAAAGCUAUUAAUUGAAUGAAUCAAAUCAGAUUUGAAGGGGAAAAGGGGAAAGACCUUUGAGGGGAACAUCAAGGACAUCACCGGCCUUAAGAUUCUUGGGAUCUGUAAUGUUGUUGAGCUCCAACAGCGUCUCUUCGGUGGUUCCGUACUUCUCCGCGAUCUCCGCCACGGAGCUUCCGGAUUCCACCACGUGCCCGUAGUGCACCACCUUCGAUUCAUUCACCUCAUCGCAGCUACACGGCAGCGGAAUCCACAGCUCUUGCCCUACUUCAAUCAAAUUCGCAUCCGAAAUGUUGUUCACCGCCUGAAUCUCCUGAUACGUCACCAGUCCCGCGAACACCUCCGCCGCGAUGUGGUACAGUCCGUCGUCCUUCUGCACAGUGUACACCGGCCGGUGGUUCGAAAUUCCGGUUCCGUUAGAGCAGCGGCAGCGGAAGGGGAUGACGAUCUUGUCCUUCGCGGCUACGCUUUGGUUCGUUGGGGUCGAGGCCGGGAGGGAGUUGGCGCCGAGUAGAGUUCGAAAGUUUUUGACGCCGAAGAGAGUCUGGAUGGCGGAUAGAGUGGUGGUGUUGGGGGAGACGUAGCCGACGAGAGCGUUACAGGUGGGGCCGGAGCUGCAUUUGAAGCUGGCCUGAGCUCUCGGCGCAGUGAUGAGCACCGAGAGGAAGGAUAGGGCGAGAAGCAGCGUAGCAGAACCCAUGGCGGAGUGGUACGGAGAGUGGUGGAUUGGAGAGAGAAG